GUUUGAUCCUGGCUCAGGAUUAACGCUGGCGGCGUGCCUAAUACAUGCAAGUCGAACGGAAGUUUGAGCAAUUAAACUUUAGUGGCGAACGGGUGAGUAACGCGUAAGCAAUCUGCCCCUAAGACGAGGAUAACAGUUGGAAACGACUGCUAAGACUGGAUAGGAGACAAGAAGGCAUCUUCUUGUUUUUAAAAGACCUAGCAAUAGGUAUGCUUAGGGAGGAGCUUGCGUCACAUUAGUUAGUUGGUGGGGUAAAGGCCUACCAAGACUAUGAUGUGUAGCCGGGCUGAGAGGUUGAACGGCCACAUUGGGACUGAGACACGGCCCAAACUCCUACGGGAGGCAGCAGUAGGGAAUUUUCGGCAAUGGAGGAAACUCUGACCGAGCAACGCCGCGUGAACGAUGAAGUAUUUCGGUACGUAAAGUUCUUUUAUUAGGGAAGAAUAAAUGAUGGAAAAAUCAUUGCUGACGGUACCUAAUGAAUAAGCCCCGGCUAACUAUGUGCCAGCAGCCGCGGUAAUACAUAGGGGGCAAGCGUUAUCCGGAAUUAUUGGGCGUAAAGGGUGCGUAGGCGGUUAAAUAAGUUUAUGGUCUAAGUGCAAUGCUCAACAUUGUGAUGCUAUAAAAACUGUUUAGCUAGAGUAAGAUAGAGGCAAGUGGAAUUCCAUGUGUAGUGGUAAAAUGCGUAAAUAUAUGGAGGAACACCAGUAGCGAAGGCGGCUUGCUGGGUCUUUACUGACGCUGAGGCACGAAAGCGUGGGGAGCAAACAGGAUUAGAUACCCUGGUAGUCCACGCCGUAAACGAUGAGUACUAAACGUUGGGUAAAACCAGUGUUGAAGUUAACACAUUAAGUACUCCGCCUGAGUAGUACGUACGCAAGUAUGAAACUUAAAGGAAUUGACGGGACUCCGCACAAGCGGUGGAUCAUGUUGUUUAAUUCGAAGGUACCCGAAAAACCUCACCAGGUCUUGACAUGCUUCUGCAAAGCUGUAGAAACACAGUGGAGGUUAUCAGUUGCACAGGUGGUGCAUGGUUGUCGUCAGCUCGUGUCGUGAGAUGUUGGGUUAAGUCCCGCAACGAGCGCAACCCUUAUUGUUAGUUACCAGCACGUAAUGGUGGGGACUUUAGCAAGACUGCCAGUGAUAAAUUGGAGGAAGGUGGGGACGACGUCAAAUCAUCAUGCCCCUUAUGACCUGGGCUACAAACGUGAUACAAUGGCUGUUACAAAGGGUAGCUGAAGCGCAAGUUUUUGGCGAAUCUCAAAAAAACAGUCUCAGUUCGGAUUGAAGUCUGCAACUCGACUUCAUGAAGUUGGAAUCGCUAGUAAUCGCGAAUCAGCAUGUCGCGGUGAAUACGUUCUCGGG
rnacentral:rRNA from 1 species